UACAGAGGUCUCAAGCGUUGUUCGGAUUCAUUGGGCGUAAAGGGUGCGAGUAGGCGGCGCGGUAAGUCGGGUGUGAAAGUCUCGGAGCUUAACUCCGAAACUGCAUUCGAUACUGCCGUGCUUGAGGACUGGAGAGGAGACUGGAAUUUACGGUGUAGCUGGUGAAAUGCGUAGAUAAUCGUAAGGAAGACCAGUGGCGAAGGCGGGUCUCUGGACAGUUCCUGACGCUGAGGCACGAAGGUCAGGGGAGCAAACGGG
rnacentral:rRNA from 1 species